ACACAGCUGAUCCCUUCGGGGUGACGCUUGUGGAAUGAGCGGCGGACGGGUGAGUAACACGUGGGCAACCUGCCUUGUAGACUGGGAUAACUCCGGGAAACCGGAGCUAAUACCGGAUGACCAACGGAAUCGCAUGAUUCUGUUGUAAAAGUGGGGAUUUAUCCUCACACUACGAGAUGGGCCCGCGGCGCAUUAGCUAGUUGGUAAGGUAAUGGCUUACCAAGGCAACGAUGCGUAGCCGACCUGAGAGGGUGAUCGGCCACACUGGAACUGAGACACGGUCCAGACUCCUACGGGAGGCAGCAGUAGGGAAUCAUCCGCAAUGGGCGAAAGCCUGACGGUGCAACGCCGCGUGAACGAUGAAGGUUUUCGGAUCGUAAAGUUCUGUUAUGAGGGAAGAACAAGUGCCGUUCGAAUAGGGCGGCACCUUGACGGUACCUCACGAGAAAGCCCCGGCUAACUACGUGCCAGCAGCCGCGGUAAUACGUAGGGGGCAAGCGUUGUCCGGAAUUAUUGGGCGUAAAGCGCGCGCAGGCGGUCUCUUAAGUCUGAUGUGAAAGCCCACGGCUCAACCGUGGAGGGUCAUUGGAAACUGGGGGACUUGAGUGUAGGAGAGGAAAGUGGAAUUCCACGUGUAGCGGUGAAAUGCGUAGAUAUGUGGAGGA
rnacentral:rRNA from 1 species